rnacentral:ncRNA from 1 species
UUAAAAGCUAUGAUGAAGAGUAGUAGAUAAUCUAAGCUUACAGAGAGGGAAUUCCUAGGUUGAAAGUAUUCCUAAGUACUUAAUUAUUGAAGUAGCUUCUGAGCUAUUAGACUGAAAGUAAGUAGGUUUAAUCGGUUGCUAGCCGUUAUUUAGUCUUAAGUUAAGGUGUCUAAAAGUAUAUCUUUUAGAAACUAAGGUGGUACCGCGGGAGUAAACCUUCUUUCGUCCUUGUC